rnacentral:rRNA from 1 species
AUGCAAGUCGAACGAACUCUUCGGAGUUAGUGGCGGACGGGUGAGUAACACGUGGGAACGUGCCUUUAGGUUCGGAAUAACUCAGGGAAACUUGUGCUAAUACCGAAUGUGCCCUUCGGGGGAAAGAUUUAUCGCCUUUGGAGCGGCCCGCGUCUGAUUAGCUAGUUGAUGAGGUAAAGGCUCACCAAGGCGACGAUCAGUAGCUGGUCUGAGAGGAUGAUCAGCCACAUUGGGACUGAGACACGGCCCAAACUCCUACGGGAGGCAGCAGUGGGGAAUCUUGCGCAAUGGGCGAAAGCCUGACGCAGCCAUGCCGCGUGAAUGAUGAAGGUCUUAGGAUUGUAAAAUUCUUUCACCGGGGACGAUAAUGACGGUACCCGGAGAAGAAGCCCCGGCUAACUUCGUGCCAGCAGCCGCGGUAAUACGAAGGGGGCUAGCGUUGCUCGGAAUUACUGGGCGUAAAGGGAGCGUAGGCGGACAUUUAAGUCAGGGGUGAAAUCCCGGGGCUCAACCUCGGAAUUGCCUUUGA